CCCCUCGGGGAGACCCAUCAGCUGGAGGUGGCCACGCAGCUGGGGCAGAAAAACAACUUCGUGGACACCCCCUAAUAUCCCCAUCCCCGCCACACCCCUGAAUAGGAGGCCAGCUGUUUCAAGGAUGGUACCUGGGGUAGACCUCCUCUCUGAGCCUCCAAUCUUGGAUAAGAGGGCACAUCCUACUCAGCAAUUUAAAACUGAGAAGAUAUAUAUGAAUCAACAUGGAGAGAGCCCCAAGACAUGCUUACAGAAUAGUAUAGCAAGGGCUCUCUCUGGUGGCUGAACCGUGCAUGGGGCAGGCCAGAAAUCCUGGAGCAUUAAAACCUACCCCACCCCGGGAGCAGCCCUCAUCCAAUGUCUGACAGGAGUUGGUGUAUAAAUGCCCCAGCUCCCUCAUGUCUUACAUGGGAUAACUCUGAGGUGGGAAUAGCACACUGUCCAGAGUUCCUUCCCCACUGGAACUGAGCUCCAGAAGCCCACAAUUGGGGCUUGUUUGAUAAUGUCUUAAUUGGCUUCCUUCCCUUCCCUGUCUCAGUCAUCCACUCCCCUACCAGUGUUUUCUGCAUCUUCCA